rnacentral:tRNA from 1 species
GGAGGAUGGCUCAGUGGUAGAGCGCUUGCCUUGCAUGCAUGAAGCCCUGGGUUCAAUUCCUCAGCACCA